CAAAAAAGCACAAAGUAUGUGCUUCACAAGGGACUGGGUUGGGAGAAUAAGAAGUGCCAAUUCCUGGACCCUGGCCCAGCCCUGAGGAUGGGCAUCUGACUGAGCCCUUUGCAGAGUGAGGCUGCAAGCAGAAGCUGAAGGAGCCGUUUUUCUCAAGGGCCCUGUGGAUGUGGAGAAGCCUGCAGGGAUGCUUGGGGGUUCAGAUGACUGCAUGGCACAGAGCCUCCCACAGCUCUGAAGAGCAGUAAGCCAGGUACUGGACAACUAAGCACUGCAGAAAGACCCAGUUGGUCUGGUCCCUCAGGGCAGCAGCUCUGGGGGGCACCGCCACAGCUUUUCACUGUGGAGAUCAGCAGCAGCAGCUAUGGCAGCAUCCUGACCUCACAGGCCUUCCUGCCUUGCAUGGAGGAGCCAGGCAGGAGAGGAGCAAGACCUGUAGAAGCCUGGGUGAUAGAAGACUACUUGUGAGCUGGUGUGAGUCACGCUCAGCAAAGGGGGAAGAAGCAGUAAAAUGGGGUUAGAAUCAUUCCUGGGACUCUGUUUGUAACCAAGGGUUCUAGGGAAGACUGGUUACAGAAGUGAUCUUGGUGUUGAGCACUUAAAGGCCCAAGAUGGACCGGUUCUAUGAAGGUCGGCAGCAUGAAAGAGGUCAUGUGAGCACACAGUGAGAAAGUGGCCAUCUGCAACCCAAGGGGAGAGCCCUCACCAGACACCAAUCAUGUUGGCACCUCGAUCUUGGCUUUUCAGUCUCCAAACUGUGAGAAGUUUCGUUGCUUAUACUGCCCAGCCUAUGGCAUUUUGUUAUGGUAGCCUGAGCAGACUAAUACAACUAAGAUCAAGCAGAACAAGAAUUAAUUAGAUGAAACGGAAUGAACUGAUGAAGAAUAGUUAUGGCUUUUGUUUGAAAUAUUGUUGCUGGAUUUAAGGAACCCCUUUCUCUUUCCUCUGAAGCUAUCUGUAACUCAUUAAUAGAGUAUGCUUUUGUAAACAGAAUGAAACAUUUACCCUUUAUCCUUGCCUAGACUUUCCAGAAUUUGGAAAGUCAUAUUGAGUAUUCUUAUUUUCACGGUAAUAUAAUUAUUUGCAGAGAUGCAGUCAGAGUCUGUUCUCCUUGAACAGUUCAGAGGUUCCUCAGAAAACUCAAAAUAGAGCUACCAUAUGAUCCAGCAAUCCUACUACUGGGUAUAAGCCCAAAAGAAAGGAAAUCGGUCUAUCAAAGAGAUAUCUGCACCCCCAUGUUUGUUGCAGCACUAUUCACAAUAGCCAAAAUUUAGAAGUAACCUAAGUAUCCAUCAACAGAUGAAUGGAUAAAGAAACUGUGGUACAUAUACACAAUGGAGUAUUAUUUAUCCAUUAAAAAGAAUGAGACCCUGUCAUUUGCAACAACAUGGAUGGAACUAGAGAUCAUUAUUAUAAGUGAAAUAUGCCAGGCACAGAAAGACAAACGUCACAUGUUCUUACUUAUUUGUGGGAUCUAAAAAUCAAAACAGGCUGGGCACAGUGGCUCACACCAGCACUUUGGGAGGCUGAUGCGGGCAGAUUAGUCGAGGUCAGGAGUUCAAGACCAGCCUGACCAACAUGGUGAAACCCCAUCUCUACUAAAAUACAAAAAUUAGCCAGGCGUGGUGGCAGGCACCUGUAAUCUCAGCUACUUAGGAGUCUGAGGCAGGAGAAUCACUUGAACGCAGGAGGCAGAGGUUGCGGUUAGCCAAGAUCAUGCCACUGCAUUCCAGCCUGGGCAACAGAGGGAGACUCCCUCUCAAAAAAUAAAUAAAUAAAUACAUAAAAAUAAAAACAAUUGAACACAUGGAGAUAGUAGAAGGAUGGUUAUCAGAGGCUGGGAAGGGUAGCAGGAGAAUGAUGGGGGGAGGUGGGGAUGGUUAAUGGGUGCAAAAAAAAAGAAUGAAUGAAUGAGUAAGACCUGGUAUUGAAGAGCACAACAGGGUGACUAUAGGCAAUAAUAAUUUGAUUGUACAUUUGAAAAUAACUAAAAGAGCAUACCCAGCACUUUGGGAGGCCGAGGCGGGCGGAUCACGAGGUCAGGAGAUCGAGACCAUCCCGGCUAAAACGGUGAAACCCCGUCUCUACUAAAAAUACAAAAAAUUAGCCGGGCGUAGUGGCGGGCGCCUGUAGUCCCAGCUACUUGGGAGGCUGAGGCAGGAGAAUGGCGUGAACCCGGGAGGCGGAGCUUGCAGUGAGCCGAGAUCCCGCCACUGCACUCCAGCCUGGGCGACAGAGCGAGACUCCGUCUCAAAAAAAAAAAAAAAAAAAAAAGAGCAUAAUUGGAUUGUCUGUAACACAAAGGAUAAAUGCUUGAGGGGAUGGACACUCUAUUUUAUAUGAUGUGAUUAUUAUGCAUUUCAUGCCUGUAUCAAAACAUCUCAUGUACCCCCAUAUAUAUAUAUAUGUAUGUAUAUAUAUAUACACACUAUGGACCCAUGAAAUAAAAAUAAAAAGAAUAUGUUCUUUUUAUUAAAGAUGUAAUUGGAAACAUUGGUUACAUAGCCAAGGCUUUGACUAUAAUGUUAUAUUUGAAAAUGAUACAUAGAUUCAGAUAUGACUAGACAGUUUUAAGAAAUCAAGGCUGACUAUAUGGAGCCUACAAAAACUCUCUUAGGAAAACCUGGCUUGGGCCAGGUGCAGUGGCUUGUGCCUGUAAUCCCAGCACUUUGGGAGGCCAAAGCAGGCAGAUAACCUGAGGUCCAGAGUUUGAGACCAGCCUGACCAACAUGGUGAAACCCUGUCUCUACUAAAAAUACAAAAUUAGCUGGGCGUGGUGGUGCAUGCCUGUAAUUCCCAGCUACUUGGGAGGCUGAAGCAGGAGAAUCGCUUGAACCCAGGAGGUGGAAGUUGCAGUGAACAGAGAUCACACCCAUUGCACUCCAGCCUGGGCAACAAAAGCGAAACUCUGUCUCAAAAAAAAAAAGAAAGAAAGAGAGAGAGAGAGAGAAAGAGGGAGAGAAGAAAG
rnacentral:lncRNA from 1 species